rnacentral:rRNA from 1 species
GAUGAACGCUAGCGGCAGGCUUAAUACAUGCAAGUCGAGGGGCAGCAUGAGUGUAGCAAUACAUUUGAUGGCGACCGGCAAACGGGUGCGGAACACGUACACAACCUUCCUAUAAGUGGGGAAUAGCCCAGAGAAAUUUGGAUUAAUACCCCGUAACAUAAUGAUGUGGCAUCACAUUAUUAUUAUAGCUUCGGCGCUUAUUGAUGGGUGUGCGGCUGAUUAGAUAGUUGGCGGGUAACGGCCCACCAAGUCUACGAUCAGUAGCUGAUGUGAGAGCAUGAUCAGCCACACGGGCACUGAGACACGGGCCCGACUCCUACGGGAGGCAGCAGUAAGGAAUAUUGGUCAAUGGACGCAAGUCUGAACCAGCCAUGCCGCGUGAAGGAUUAAGGUCCUCUGGAUUGUAAACUUCUUUAUCUGGGACGAAAAAAGGGAUUCUUUCUCACUUGACGGUACCAGAGG